rnacentral:rRNA from 1 species
UUAGUUCGUGGAGUGAUUUGUCUGGUUAAUUCCGAUAACGAACGAGACCUUAACCUGCUAAAUAGCACUGCUCCCCAUCGCGGGGGUAGCUGGCUUCUUAGAGGGACGAUCGGUUUUUAACCGGUGGAGGUAUGAGGUAAUAACAGG